rnacentral:tRNA from 1 species
UAUAUUGAGGUGUAAGAUGCACGAUGAGUUUUGAUCUCUUAAGUUAUGGUUUAAUUCCAUAUUAUAUAA